AGGUCCUCGGGAGAGUACGGUGUUCCCGGAGACACAGGAGAGACUGGUGAGCAGGGUCGGGCCGGAUUCCCGGGUUCAAAGGCUUUAAAGGACAGAAAGGAGAUUUAACGGUGGAGGAUAUUGAAGGUGAGAAGGGAAACAAGGGACAGCAGGGCCCUGCAGGC